AAAAAGGGCAAACAGAGAGAGAGGACUUAACAGAGUAAAAACUCUCUGAGAGCGAAGGAGGGAGAGAGAUUGCUUUUGCGUCGAGCUAAAGUGCGCCGGUUCUCCGGUGAUCUAAAUCUUGCCGUUGAUUCCCCUCGUGGUCCCGCCAAGAUCCUCGACGAAGACCGUUUGAUAUUCUGACAAAUAAUUCUCUCUUAGUUUGCUUGCCGUUUAUGGAUAGACCUAAUAUGAGCAUAUAAAAUUAAAAAAUAUUUUUACAGCUUUUUUCCUUUU
rnacentral:misc_RNA from 1 species